rnacentral:rRNA from 1 species
GACGAACGCUAGCGGCGUGCUUAACACAUGCAAGUCGGACGGAAAGGCCCUGCUUUUGUGGGGUGCUCGAGUGGCGAACGGGUGAGUAACACGUGAGUAACCUGCCCUUGACUUUGGGAUAACUUCAGGAAACUGGGGCUAAUACCGGAUAGGAGCUCCUGCUGCAUGGUGGGGGUUGGAAAGUUUCGGCGGUUGGGGAUGGACUCGCGGCUUAUCAGCUUGUUGGUGGGGUAGUGGCUUACCAAGGCUUUGACGGGUAGCCGGCCUGAGAGGGUGACCGGCCACAUUGGGACUGAGAUACGGCCCAGACUCCUACGGGAGGCAGCAGUGGGGAAUAUUGCACAAUGGGCGGAAGCCUGAUGCAGCAACGCCGCGUGCGGGAUGACGGCCUUCGGGUUGUAAACCGCUUUCGCCUGUGACGAAGCGUGAGUGACGGUAAUGGGUAAAGAAGCACCGGCUAACUACGUG